rnacentral:lncRNA from 1 species
GAUUAGGAAGUUAAAGGACGUUGAGAAGGGAGGGGGAAAGGAAGAGAAAGUGUUGUGGAGCUCAAAUUCCUGUUUAUGUAUGAUUGUUUUCACACACAACACAUCGUAUGCAACCGGAGAAAUGGCAGUUGGACUAAAAAGUCUCUGAGGCAUCCGUCUGAGACUGACUUUACAGUAUCUCACCACCAAUGUUACCUGAAUUUCUCCCCACCACAAAAGACUGUGGUGGGUGUGUGUGUGUCCCUCAAGAGACUUCCGAGAAUGGCAUGCAGGUCACUAGCUGCUACCUGCGGUAGGAUCAGGUUCACCGAGAGUGCUAGCCAAACCAGAGGCACGACGCAGCGUCUCUGGUGACGUGGUCCAUCUGCUCUCAGCUCCGGUGGAGGUUUGAUUAUGAAGACUGCAUUUUGUUUUGCAGACAUACACUUGAGUCUUACUGAGAUAAUUUGCUGCAAAGAAACUCUGGCUACCGCUCAGGUGAAACAGCUUUCUUUCCAUACGGUUUCACUUUACCGGAGGUGAGAUCCAAGAACUGCUUUUUAAUGGGAGAAGAAGGAUUUCUCCAAGAUGACUGCUAGGAUUUCUUUGUUCAAUCUACUUUCUUUCGUUUCGAGUUGAUUGAAGGCCAUCAGAUAGGAUUCUUGUUUUACUCUACAUGCUUCUUGUCAACUAUCUUGCCUUUCACAGUCUGACUACACAGGGACAUUUACAGCCUUCCAGUGGAGUCUGCCAGACUUAGGUGUUAUGCGCCAUACCUCCAGGGAUCAUUACCAUAUGGUAUUUUAGGAGAGGACACAGUUCAUUUCAAUGCAAUUCAAAUGAGCAGAUUUCUUUUCUUUAUUGCACCACUGCAUUUGGAGGCAAUCCACCAGAGGCAGAGUCUAACUCUCAAAGGAAUGCUCUGCCCACUCUGUCCAUUUAACAGGACAUUUGGCUCAAAAAUCUAGUCGGUUGAUCACACAUGUGCAACAGAUGUGUGAGCAUGCGUAGCGAAAAUAAAAAAUAAAAAAUCCCAGCA